rnacentral:rRNA from 1 species
AUACGGAGGACGCGAGCGUUACCCGGAUUCAUUGGGUUUAAAGGGUGCGCAGGCGGCCGUGCAAGUCAGCGGUGAAAGCCCGGGGCUCAACCCCGGAAGUGCCGUUGAUACUGCAUGGCUGGAAUGCGGUCGAGGCGGGCGGAACGUGGGGUGGAGCGGGGAAAUGCGUAGAUAUGCCACAGAACGCCGAUAGCGGAGGCAGCUCGCCAGGCCUGCAUUGACGCUCGGGCACGAAAGCGUGGGGAUCGAACAGGAUUAGAUACCCUGGUAGUCCGCACAGUAAACGAUGGAUACUCGCUGUCGGCGAUAUACGGUCGGUGGCCAAGCGAAAGCGUUAAGUAUCCUACCUGGGGAGUACGCCGGCAACGGUGAAACUUAAAGGAAUUGGCGGGG